rnacentral:rRNA from 1 species
UACGGAGGGGGCUAGCGUUGUUCGGAAUUACUGGGCGUAAAGCGCACGUAGGCGGCUUUUUAAGUCAGAGGUGAAAGCCCGGAGCUCAACUCCGGAAUUGCCUUUGAGACUGGAAGGCUUGAAUCACGGAGAGGUGGGUGGAAUUCCGAGUGUAGAGGUGAAAUUCGUAGAUAUUCGGAAGAACACCAGUGGCGAAGGCGGCCCACUGGACGUGUAUUGACGCUGAGGUGCGAAAGCGUGGGGAGCAAACAGG